GCCAGCCCGCUCAGAAACUUAAAGGCAUUGACGGGGCCCGCACAAGCGGUGGAGUAUGUGGUUAAUUCGAUGCAACGCGAAGAACCUUACCUGGUCUUGACAUCCCGGAGACCCUUAGGAAACUAGGGGGUGCUUCCAUCUGGAAGAAUCUGGAGACAGGUGCUGCAUGGCUGUCGUCAGCUCGUGUCGUGAGAUGUUGGGUUAAGUCCCGCAACGAGCGCAACCCUUGCCUUUAGUUGCCAGCAGUUCGGCUGGGCACUCUAAAGGGACUGCCGGUGUUAAACCGGAGGAAGGUGGGGAUGACGUCAAGUCCUCAUGGCCUUUAUGACCAGGGCUACACACGUACUACAAUGGCCGAUACAAAGGGCAGCGACACUGCGAGGUGAAGCCAAUCCCGUAAAAUCGGUCUCAGUCCGGAUUGGAGCCUGCAACUCGACUCCAUGAAGUUGGAAUCGCUAGUAAUCGUGGAUCAGCAUGCCACGGUGAAUACGUUCCCGGGCCUU
rnacentral:rRNA from 1 species